UACGUAGGGGGCUAGCGUUGUCCGGAUUUAUUGGGCGUAAAGAGCGUGUAGGCGGCCAGGUAGGUCUGCUGUGAAAACUCGAGGCUCAACCUCGAGACGUCGGCGGAAACCAUCUGGCUAGAGUCCGGAAGAGGAGAGUGGAAUUCCUGGUGUAGCGGUGGAAUGCGUAGAGAUCCGGAAGAACACCGGAGGCGAAGGCGGCUUGCUGGGCUUGGUCUGACGCUGAGGCGCGAAAGCAUGGGGAGCGAACAGG
rnacentral:rRNA from 1 species